rnacentral:rRNA from 1 species
UGGGGAAUUUUGGACAAUGGGCGAAAGCCUGAUCCAGCAAUGCCGCGUGUGUGAAGAAGGCCUUCGGGUUGUAAAGCACUUUUGUCCGGAAAGAAAUCCUUGGCUCUAAUACAGUCGGGGGAUGACGGUACCGGAAGAAUAAGCACCGGCUAACUACGUGCCAGCAGCCGCGGUAAUACGUAGGGUGCAAGCGUUAAUCGGAAUUACUGGGCGUAAAGCGUGCGCAGGCGGUUUGCUAAGACCGAUGUGAAAUCCCCGGGCUCAACCUGGGAACUGCAUUGGUGACUGGGCAGGCUAGAGUAUGGCAGAGGGGGGUAGAAUUCCACGUGUAGCAGUGAAAUGCGUAGAGAUGUGGAGGAAUACCGAUGGCGAAGGCAGCCCCCUGGGCCAAAUACUGACGCUCAUGCACGAAAAGCGUGGGGAGCAAAACAGGAUUAGAUACCCUGGUAGUCCACGCCCUAAAACGAUGUCAACUAGUUGUUGGGGAUUCAUUUCCUUAGUAAACGUAGCUAAACGCGUGAAGUUGACCGCCUGGGGAGUAACGGUCGCAAGAUUAAAAACUUAAAAGGAAUUG